UGGCCGACCCUUCUCCCUCACCCAGACUACCAUCUAAGAUGCCUCCCCCUGCUCUUCUUCUCCCUAAUUCCAUGCCUUGUUUCUCCGCUCGGCCCCUUCCGAGCACCACCCCACCCCACCACCAGUUGCCGCCUCUUUCCCUACACCAGCUUCUCCUCUCUGCCCCUUCCAUUGCUUGCUCGAUUUCCUGUCUCACAUGCGCAGAUUUGCGACCACCUCUGCAUCCGGUGGCCUCCCCAUGUAGAGCUACAAGCCCUUCCACUUCCGACGGCCUCCCCGCGCAGAUCCGCGACCAACACCUCCUCCGACUACCUCUCCGCACAUAUCCGUAGCUAACUCCACCUCCCUUCGCAGACCAUACGCCAUCACUUCUCCGGUAAUCUAUCACUGGAGAAGCUCCUCACUGUGUUCCAGCUCCACGGCCUCAACAACUCCGGCACCAGGAACAACCGUGGGCUUGUUAUGUCGAUUUUGACAGUUGAAGACUACUGGAUUGAAGCCAAGGUUUUUUAUUUGAAAAAAGAUUGAAGCCAAGUUAGGAGUGGUAGCAGAUAAGCAAUAUGUAUGCAGUUUUUAGUUUUUGACACGAUGUGUUUGAAGUUAUCAAGGGUAUUAAUUAUUUUGUAGCAUAUUAGCAAUGAGUGAUUCAUUUGUCAAGAAUUUAAUCCUACAUUUAUCACAAAUUAUGUCAUGACUACAUGUACAAAAUAUUUAUUGUGAAUGGAA